ACUGGAAUCAAUGAUGGCUCAGUCGGUAGAGCAUGAGACUCGUAAUCUCAGGGUCACGUUGGACAAAAGAUUCCUACAUUGCAGUG